AACCAUUCUCACCUGCGGCUAGACCUGCGGAGGGAUCAUUACCACACCUAAAAAUCUCUUUUCCACGUGAACCGUCAAAGUGUUGUUUUGUGGUUUUGUAGCGUACGUACGUACGUGUCUCAAAGCCUGAACGAAGGUUUUAGAUGUCAUCUAAAACUGAUGCUUUUUCAAACCCAUCUCUUACGUUAAAUGACUGAUUGUAAAUACUGUGAGGACGAAAGUCCUUGCUUUGAAAACUAG
rnacentral:misc_RNA from 1 species